UACAGAGGUCCCAAGCGUUUGUUCGGAAUCACUGGGCGUAAAGAGCUCGUAGGCGGUUUGUCGCGUCUGCCGUGAAAGUCCGGGGCUCAACUCCGGAUCUGCGGUGGGUACGGGCAGACUAGAGUGCAGUAGGGGAGAACUGGAAUUCCUGGUGUAGCGGUGAAAUGCGCAGAUAUCAGGAGGAACACCGAUGGCGAAGGCAGGUCUCUGGGCUGUAACUGACGUGGAGGAGCGAAAGCAUGGGGAGCGAACAGG
rnacentral:rRNA from 1 species